rnacentral:rRNA from 1 species
CCUACGGGCGGCAGCAGUGAGGAAUAUUGGUCAAUGGACGAGAGUCUGAACCAGCCAAGUAGCGUGAAGGAUGACUGCCCUACGGGUUGUAAACUUCUUUUAUAUAGGAAUAAAGUGAUCCACGUGUGGGUUUUUGUAUGUACUUUAUGAAUAAGGAUCGGCUAACUCCGUGCCAGCAGCCGCGGUAAUACGGAGGAUCCGAGCGUUAUCCGGAUUUAUUGGGUUUAAAGGGAGCGUAGGUGGAUUGUUAAGUCAGUUGUGAAAGUUUGCGGCUCAACCGUAAAAUUGAAGUUGAAACUGGCAGUCUUGAGUACAGUAGAGGUGGGCGGAAUUCGUGGUGUAGCGGUGAAAUGCUUAGAUAUCACGAAGAACUCCGAUUGCGAAGGCAGCUCACUGGACUGCAACUGACACUGAGGCUCGAAAGUGUGGGUAUCAAACAGGAUUAGAUACCCGAGUAGUC